UCUCCCGUGCCUGAGCUUCAUCUCCUCUUCAGAGUAAGGUUGUUCGGAUGAGGUAACAACAAGUGAUUCCAGCAGUGAUUCGGCAGUGUAAUUUAAGGUUUCCAGCAGCAAUCAACCCUUGUUGGCAGUAACAAACCUUCAGUGGAUCAGUGAUUCCUGCUGUGAAUUUAGGUUUAUCGGUUUGGGAGAUUUGCAAUUUAAUCUUGCUCCGACUGUUGAUUUACAGUAGCAACGUUUCCAACCAGAUUUGGACAAGUUGUAGAGGACCUUGACGCGAGACGAGUAUCUCGGAGUCAGAUUGGACCUUUCUAUUUUCGGAGG